rnacentral:rRNA from 1 species
UAGGCUGCAACUCGCCUACACGAAGCUGGAAUCGCUAGUAAUCGCGGAUCAGCACGCCGCGGUGAAUACGUUCCCGAGCCUUGUACACACCGCCCGUCACACCAUGAGAGUCUGUAACACCCAAAGCCGGUGGGAUAACCUUUAUAGGAGUCAGCCGUCUAAGGUAGGACAGAUGAUUAGGGUGAAGUCGUAACAAGGUAAC